UACAGAGGGUGCAAGCGUUAAUCGGAAUUACUGGGCGUAAAGCGCGCGUAGGCGGUUGUGUAAGUUGAAUGUGAAAGCCCCGGGCUUAACCUGGGAAUGCCAUUCAAAACUGCAUAACUAGAAUGUGAUAGAGGACAGUGGAAUUCCUAGUGUAGCGGUGAAAUGCGUAGAUAUUAGGAGGAACAUCAGUGGCGAAGGCGACUGUCUGGGUUAACAUUGACGCUGAGGUGCGAAAGCGUGGGUAGCGAACGGG
rnacentral:rRNA from 1 species